CUUGGGGUGGUCUAGUUGGUUCAUGGCGUUCGACUGUAAUGGAGACAUCUCAUCGAAAAGUCGGCGGUUCGAUUCCGCCUCCCGAGA
rfam:Trichoderma atroviride IMI 206040 TRIATcontig_29, whole genome shotgun sequence.